AUCAUGCAAUAUAUCAGAAAGUAAUUGUUCAACGUUUUCCACGUGGCUUCGCAAUUCUGGUGUAGACCUGCUUACUUCUUGAUCAUCCUCUGACACCGAAGGCGCUGCCAUUAGAACAUUACCAGGGUUUAACAGCAGUGAUCCACAUUCCGACUCAUGAGAUCUAUGAACGUUAUCAUUUUCCACUUCCUCCUUGAUUGAUGAAUGCUCAGAUGUUGGUUCCAUCAACUGGCUGUUUUCAUUAGUGGGAUGGAUUGAAUAAGGAGGACUGUAGCUGUUGUAAUAAUGCUAACCUCGCUUCAUUCACUCAUUUACGGUUAAAAUUAAGGGAAAAGAAGGCGUUUUAAAUAUUUUGCUUUUUAUUGAAUAAAAAAUAAUUAUUGAUUCUUUAAAUAAAUGUUGAAACUCAACUUUGCGGUGCAAUCAUAAAGAUAUUGUGCCGAAGAUGAUUUCGUACCUAGUUGUAUAGGUAAUUCAAAAGGGAAGAUUGGAAUGGCUGAGUCUUCGGCAAAGAAUUUCAUAUUACAACUAAAUGGCAUUCAAGAUACGUUUACAUGGAAGUCAAUUGUAUACAGAGAACAGUACUGAAUUUAAAAUAAAACUAAUAAUUACACGUUCUAUGAAAUGUACGCGCUCUAAACUAAGAAUACUCUUUGGUUAAGAAAUUAAUGUUAAAAAGCGCUUAGAAUAUAGCGCUAGAUGUAUUACUACAAACUGUUUAUAUUGAGUUAUUUAGGAGUGAUCACUGAUCUAUCGUUUCAACUAAAAUGCUGCUUAUCCUUGACUUCUCAAGGUCUAAGGAUGGUAUUCACAUUUAAAGAUCUAGAAACUUGUUGGCUAACUUUUCGAGAUGGUUCCAUCUAAUAUUGAAUAGAAUUGAGAUUUGCGCAUUGGUUCUUUCAAUAUCUAUAUUGCUCCAAAACAAAAACAUUAGUCUAGUACUUGUAAGAAAACACAAGUCAUACAGGGAAUCGAAAAUAAAAAAUCAGUUGAAAUCUUUAAUCGACGCUUCAUAUUUCAUUUUGAGCAAUAAUAAAACACUCGAUUAAGCCAACCAUCAUCUAGUUUGUUGAACAUGCUCAGUAGUCGGUAUUAACUUCAUAGAGACUUGAAUAGAUAUAGGAAA